AAUUCUUCCUUUGCAGAGGAGGGCUGGAGCCCAUAAACAACUACCUUGUUAACAGGAACUGAGCUUCAUUUCGAGGCUAGUGAGCCAGAUGUCUCUGAAGGCAGUGUGCCUGGCACUUGGGAGACGAUUCGAAAGGCAUUUGCCUCUGCAGACCGUAAUAUUUUAUCUCGAAAAUGGAAGAGGAAGGAGAUGAUCUCUAAGGAAAUGUGUCACAGUUAUAAGACCAAUGAACUUGGAGGACCAAAAUUGAGUCCAAGUCCUGACUCCGUCACUGUCUAGCUAUGUGAUACCAGACCAGUGCCUUAGCAUCUCUGAGUUUUUAUUUACCACUGAAAUCACAUUGAGGCUAUGAGCACAAAGGAAGUCGAUAAAUGUGAAUAUAUGUGGCACAUCGAUGUGUCCAAAUAAAAGUUGAUUUUAUUUUCAUUUCAGCUCUGAAAGGAUAGGCCUGUAAUCAUUUUGAUUAGAUCAAAUAAUAUCUCAAAACAUACUUUGAACUAACAUCUAAAGGGCAAGCAAGAUUCCAUACAGGUAGAAAAAAAAUCGCUUUAGUCACCCCGCAUUUUUUUUUCUUACCAAGAUAUUUUAAGCGGCAAGAAUGAUGUCUUCCGGACAUCACCAUGACAUGCCAGGACAUGAUGUCAGUUGGUGUUAAAAUCGCUUGUCAUCUCCUCUAAUAUCCCCCUUGCUGGCUGAGUUGUCUUGGAUAUGUCAGAAGCGAUUUUACUAGUAACAAGCAUCUCCUAAUUCUUGGCCGAGAGACAACCCACUCUUAAAGAGUUUAAAAUGCUGCUUUGGUUGGUUAUAAUAUAAACUAGAAAACUAUCCCUUAAUUUUCUGCCACUAGAAAUAAAUGCAGAUGCCUUUAAUUUAAGAUGAGCCAGAUUGAUGGUAUUAGAUUCCCCCCCAAAUAGUUUUGUUUUGAUUAGAGUAUAAUUGAUUUACAGUGUUGUGUCAAUUUCUGCUGUACAGCAAGGUGACCCAGGCAUACAAAUAUGUACAUUCUCUUUCUCAUACUAUCUUCCAUCAUGUUCUAUCCCAAGAGAAUGGAUACAGCUUCUCUGUGCUGUACAGUAGGACCUCUUUGCUUAUCCAUUCUAAAUGGAAUAGUUUGCAUCUACCAGCUCUGGAUGGAUUCUUAAUACUCAUAGCCAAACCUUUGGGACAGACCAGACUCCUUAUUAGAUCUGUUUCUUUUACUUUAGCCUUUGUGCUCUGUGGCCUAUCCUUGGUCACACUGGCUCUGUAUCUUUUGUAAAAGAAUGUUGCCUAUAGACUGAAAUAUACAGGACAGCCUAUUCUCAGGGCUCUGAACCGUAAGAGUCCAUACAUAUAGGGAUAAAAAGUUGCAGAACAGAGACUAGCACUGGUUUUGUAGGAGGUUUAUUGGAGCAUCACGACCUGACCUACGUGGACAGCUGUAAGAACAAAGGAUACCUACACCAAAAAGUUUACAACAAACACCCACUCAUCCACCUUUUAUAUAUAUAUAAAAGGAGCCUGAAUUCUGACUGGGGUAAGAUGGUUCUUUGAGACAUGAAUCUGCCGUCUCCUCAGUCUACUGGCUUUCUGAAUGCGGUCAUCAUUUUUUUCCCCCAACAGUUCAUCUUCCUAUAUACUGGCCUGUCGUGAUGCAAGUAGGACAAUCUGGACUCAGUACCACUACUUCACUUGGGCUGUUAGAAUCCAACAGACUGGGUGGAGUAUUAACAACAGGAAUGUUUUGUCACAGUGCUGGAGGCUGGGAAGUCCGAGACGAAGGUGUGAGAAGACUCAGUGUUUGGUGAGGACAAGCUUCCUCAUAGAAGACCAUAUUCUGACUACGACGUCAUACGGAGGAAGGGGUGAGGGAUCCUUCUGGGGUCUCUGUUAUAAGGAUACUAAUCUCACUCACGAUGUCUCUGCGCGCAUGACCCAAUCACCUCCCCAAAGCCCCCACCUCUUAACACUCUUAACACGAUCCCAUUGGUGGGUAGAAUUUCAAUAUGUGAAGGUAUGGGCGCCAUAAACUUCCAGUUCGUUGUACUCAUUGUAACUGGAAAGCAGUGAAAAGGAAGAAGACUUGAAAAAAUUCUAACUUCAGUUUUUGAACCAGUGGAGUGGAUGAAGCACUCUCCCCCAGGCACUGUCCAGCCUUUCAUUAUCUUAAUAAUGGUCUGUGUGGGAUGUUCGUAACAGGCAAGAUUUAGGAUGGAGUAUCAGUACACUGUAUAUGUGACCCUAGAAUCCAGGCCCAAAAGUUAUCCAAAAAGAGGCAAAUUUCACAAGUUUUUUUUCCCCCUCAUUUCACAAGCCCCUUGGACACAGAAUGUCCUCUGUGAACUAGCCAGGAGAAAGAAAUCCAGCUUUACAGUGCAUGUAAUCUGGAAAGCAAGGAAAGAAACAUUUAAGCUGUUAUUCAAACAAGUUUCAUUCCAAUUACUACUUUCCUCUAUGUCAAAAUCAAUUAUUCUCACGUUUGACACGGCCAAUACUUGCCAGGGUGAUUGGGAGAUCUGCCUCCAUAUUUUUCUCCUGAUGUUUUCUUUCGGGGCCGCUUUUGCUUGUGGGUUGUUCUAUAGUGUUGUUGUUGAUUUUCCCACUGCAGCCAGCGCCAUGGAGUUGCUUUUACAUGGCCAUAAAAUAAAAUGAACAUACACAGGAAAGGGAGCCUUGCUCAAAGUCAAGUACUGGAUGGCUUAGCUUAAUAUGUGCUCAGUUUCACAAGCAGAGACCUGUUUAUUCUCAUUGCUUAAAGACGCAAUGACCAUUUGCUUUGUGACAUCCCCCAUGCUAGCACUGGGCCCCAGCCAGACAAGGACUGACAGGCCAGGUCAUUUUUGCCUUGUGACCCUCGUAGAAACGCUAGUCCCCAGACAACUUUGAUGGGCUAAUUGCAGCAGCACGCUGAGUUAAUCACACCACGGUUGGGCGCCUGUCAGCACCUCCAUGACGCUAUCAGCUGGGGCUGUUGAGUCCUCAUGACAUAGAGAAAAGGGAAGUGAAAAGAAAGAGCUUAAGUAUUUCCUAAUCUGUGACGAUUAAGUCGAAUUUGACCAAAGCUCAUGCAGUCAAGUCAGACUCCUUUGUGUUCUAUAGUAUUGAAUUGCCUUGUGUUAUUUUUUUUACCUUGUCUUCUGAAAGUCAGGCAUGAAUUUUAAAAUCAUGGUCAACAGGCAUGUUUUCAAUGGUUCAUUUUUUUAAAAACUUAUUCAGCUGCAACUUCAAAAGUGUUCUCAAAUCAUAUAUUAUUUCCUUCCCUUACCCUAAUGGACACCAAGAAACUGAAUUUAAAACUCGGUGGGGUGGGAGUGGGAAAAUGUGCAAAGGGUCAAGGAAAUCUCUACUUUGUUUCUACGUUACAGGCAAAUGACUUCAUUUCUACCCUUUAUUUUCUGCUUUUGUAAUCAUUCAUAUUCAAGCUUUUGUUCAUAGUGUUUCCGCACAUUUGUCUUAGUUCUAGCUACUCUAACAAAUUAUUGUAGACUGGGUGUCUUAGGCAACAUUUAUUUUUUACAGUCCUGGAGAUUGGGAAGUUUAGGAUUGAGGUGCUGGCAAAUUUGGUGUCUGAUGAAAUCCUGCUUCCUGGCUUUCAAUGGGUUGUCUUCAACUAUGGCCAUAUUCAUAAUCUAAUAACCUCCCAAGGCCCCCCUACAAAUACCUUCCCACUGAGAAUUAGGACUUUAACACAUGAAUUUUGGAGGGACACAAACACUCAGUUGAUAGCAUGCUAUUCUUGGCCCCUCAAAAUAUGUGUCCUUCUCAUAUGCAAAAUAUGGUCAAUUCAUCCACAAACAUGCAAAGUCUUAAUUCAUUCUACCAUGAACUCUAAAGUCCAAAGUCUUGGAGUUUCCAUCAUGGCUCAGUGGUAAUGAAUCCAAUUAGCAUCCAUGAGGAUGUGGGUUUGAUCCCUGGCCUUGCUCAGUGAAUUAAGUAUCUGGUGUUGUUGAGAGCUGCAGUGUAGGUCACAGAAGCAGCUGGGAUCCUGAAUUGCUGUGUCUAUGAUGUAGGCCAGCAGCUGCAUCUCUAAUUCAACACCUAACCUGGGAACUUACGUAUGCCAUAGGUGUGGCCCUAGAAAGCAAAAAAAUAAAAUUAAAUUAAAAAAUAAGUAAAGUCCAAAGUCUCAUCUAAAUUCUAAAUAUAUGAACCAGAUAUGGGUGAGACUCAAGGUAGAAUUUGUCCUGAGGUACUACCCUCAAGGCUCCAGGUGGCCCUGCCCCAGAGUUUAGGUAGAAGUGGUCUAGCCUGUUGAAACCAAGGUGAUGUCCUAGCUUUUGAAAAUGAGGAGGAAAACUUGAUGAACUCUGAGUCAUUCUUCCCUAGUCCUGAAGAAUAGUUCUGGGGUCUUUCCUAUAAAAUUCAGGAAGGUCAACCUCCUUCCUCUAUUCCAUCCUGUCACCAUUCACUUCAGUUUAAACGGGCAGUGUUUCUGCUACAGUAGCUGAUUAGGUCUCUAUUUCACACCUACACUAGUCUCUUUAUCAAAUGGUUGGUCCACCACAUGCUUAGUGUUCUCUUCCAAGCAUGCUUUCUCAUAUUUUAUAAUAUGGACAGGCAGAUAAUUUUCUGAAUCUUCAAGUUCUUGUUCCUUUUUGAUGAAAAAUUUCAUCUUCAAUUCAUUUGUCUUUUCUCAAAUUAUGCCAUUAGAAACCAGGAGAAACCAAGUCACUCCUUGAACUUUUUGUUUAGAUAGCCCCUCAGUUAAAAUCCAUCACUUGCAAGUUUUACCUUGCAUGAAACACUAGAACACAAACAUAAAUUCAGACAAGAUAUUUGCCAUUUUAUCACAAGGAUUACCUUUUCUCCAUUGUCCAAUAAUAUGUUCAGCAUUUCCUUCUGAGGCUUCACCAGAAUGUCCUUUACCUGCCACAUUCUGUUCAUGAUAAUUUACUCAUUCGCUAAGAUAGAAGAUUUCUCAACAGAUUUCUUCUUUUCUUUCUGCAUCCUCACCAGAAUCACCUUCAUGAUAAUCUUGGCUUUCUCUGGCACAAAUCUCCAAACUUGCCCAGCCUUUACCUUUCAUGCCAUUCCAAAGCCACUUUCCCAUUUUCAGGUAUUUGUUACCACAUUCUUCAUAGCCAAUUACUAUCUUAGCUCAGACUACUAAAACAAAGACCAUAGAUUGGAUGGCCUAAACAACAGACAGUUAUUUCUCAUAGUUCUGAAGCCUGGAAAGUGCAAGAUCAGGGUCCCAGCAGAUUCCGUGUCUGAUGAGAGUGGUCAUCCUAGUUUGCAAUGGACAUUUUCUUUCUGAAUUCUCAGAUUCAGUGUCUGCUGAGAGAGAGACCAUCUCUCUCAUGUCUCUUCUUAUAAGGGCACUGAUCCCAUUCAGGAGGGCUCCACAGUUAUGACCCAAUUACCACCUAAAAUUUCCACCUCCAAAUACCAUCACACCGGGGGUUAGUGCUUGAACAUAUGAAUUUGGGGGCAACAUAUCCAGUCUCUGGCAGAAUUGAAAAGGGUUGCCUGAUGCCCACAGUUAGUUAAGAUUUAUUGCUCUCCAAAAGAGUUUUCUCCCUAAAUACACACACACUCAUAUAUGUAUAUGUACAUAUCUAUGAAUACAUAUGUAUUCUUUUCUUUUUAUUGAUUGAUUUUAAUGAAAUAUUGUCAUUAACAUCAUAUGUUAACUUGAAGAUUUAUGGAAAAUAAAUCUUGAAAAACUUAAAUAUUUACGGAAAAUUGAAUAUUUAUCCCACAUCAAGAUCUUACUCUGUUAAAGAAGCUAUUUUCUGAAACUCUUUACUUGCAAAAUUUGUUUGUACGUCUAUGACUUGGCUGUAAUUGAAACAGACACCAGAAAUAUAAUUGCCUUACCCCACAUUUCAUAUUUUUUAAUUUGUCCAAAAGAAUGUCUGAGACUCACAGUAACUCAAGUAAGGAAGUACUUUUUCUUAUCUGUUUUAUAGACAAAGAAAGUCAUUUAGAGACAGAGCGAUUGGGGUCUUUUGAAGCAGGAGCAUUGCCUGUCUUGUUCACCUCUCAUCC
rnacentral:lncRNA from 1 species